AUCCACACUGCCCGCGAUGGUGCGCAGGCGUCCUUUCAGGGGCGUCUGGCUGAAAAGGGAACACGGUGCGCCCGAUGGUCCGACCGACCGGGCAAAUCCGUGGCUGCCCCCGCAACUGUGAGCGGCGAGCGAGACCGGAGAACGCCACUGGGCCCAAGGCCCGGGAAGGACCGGUCGAGCAACAACCCGCAAGCCAGGAGACCUGCCAUCUGACAUGUUGGACC
rnacentral:ncRNA from 2 species